rnacentral:lncRNA from 1 species
CAACAUCACGAACACCUACUCGGAGGUUGUUCUUUUAGCUCCUUUAUAUAGCUUGUUACGGCUCAUUUCUCUCUUUUCUCACUCUUUUCUUUUUUAAAUUUUUUUUAUAAUCUGUUCUUUUAGCUCCUUUUUAUAGUUUGUUACGGCUUCAUUUCUCUCUUUUCUCACUCUUUUUUUUUUAAUAUUUUUUUUAUAACUUUCUUUGUAUUUACAUGUUCUGCUGAAGUGUUUGCAUUUGGCUGUAGACAUAGUGAUGAUUCUUUUCAAAUGCAUCACAUUCACACUCUGCUGUACUCUCUUAUGAUCUGCCUGUACAGCACGUUUUUGCCUGUAAAAUUUCGUUACCUGUUGAUUUCUGAGACUCGUAAAUUAGUCACUUUGGUUGGAGGAGUUUGCUCUUAUAUGCUUAGUAUUUCUUAAUUAUGCAGACCUUAGUUUAUGAUUAUUCGCUGUACAGUAUGGCAAAAAUAC